GACGAACGCUGGCGGCGUGCUUAACACAUGCAAGUCGAACGGUAAGGCCCUUCGGGGUACACGAGUGGCGAACGGGUGAGUAACACGUGGGUGAUCUGCCCUGCACUUCGGGAUAAGCCUGGGAAACUGGGUCUAAUACCGGAUAGGACCACUGCUCGCAUGGGUGGUGGUGGAAAGCUUUUGCGGUGUUGGAUGGGCCCGCGGCCUAUCAGCUUGUUUGUGGGGUGAUGGCCUACCAAGGCGACGACGGGUAGCCGGCCUGAGAGGGUGACCGGCCACACUGGGACUGAGAUACGGCCCAGACUCCUACGGGAGUCAGCAGUGGGGAAUAUUGCACAAUGGGCGCAAGCCUGAUGCAGCGACGCCGCGUGAGGGAUGACGGCCUUCGGGUUGUAAACCUCUUUCAGCACCGACGAAGCGCAAGUGACGGUAGGUGCAGAAGAAGGACCGGCCAACUACGUGCCAGCCGCCGCCGUAA
rnacentral:rRNA from 1 species